rnacentral:rRNA from 1 species
GACGAACGCUGGCGGCGUGCUUAACACAUGCAAGUCGAACGGAAAGGCCCUGCUUUUGUGGGGUGCUCGAGUGGCGAACGGGUGAGUAACACGUGAGUAACCUGCCCUUGACUUUGGGAUAACUUCAGGAAACUGGGGCUAAUACCGGAUAGGAGCUCCUGCUGCAUGGUGGGGGUUGGAAAGUUUCGGCGGUUGGGGAUGGACUCGCGGCUUAUCAGCUUGUUGGUGGGGUAGUGGCUUACCAAGGCUUUGACGGGUAGCCGGCCUGAGAGGGUGACCGGCCACAUUGGGACUGAGAUACGGCCCAGACUCCUACGGGAGGCAGCAGUGGGGAAUAUUGCACAAUGGGCGGAAGCCUGAUGCAGCAACGCCGCGUGCGGGAUGACGGCCUUCGGGUUGUAAACCGCUUUCGCCUGUGACGAAGCGUGAGUGACGGUAAUGGGUAAAGAAGCACCGGCUAACUACGUGCCAGCAGCCGCGGUGAUACGUAGGGUGCGAGCGUUGUCCGGAUUUAUUGGGCGUAAAGGGCUCGUAGGUGGUUGAUCGCGUCGGAAGUGUAAUCUUGGGGCUUAACCCUGAGCGUGCUUUCGAUACGGGUUGACUUGAGGAAGGUAGGGGAGAAUGGAAUUCCUGGUGGAGCGGUGGAAUGCGCAGAUAUCAGGAGGAACACCAGUGGCGAAGGCGGUUCUCUGGGCCUUUCCUGACGCUGAGGAGCGAAAGCGUGGGGAGCGAACAGGCUUAGAUACCCUGGUAGUCCACGCUGUAAACGGUGGGUACUAGGUGUGGGGUCCAUUCCACGGGUUCCGUGCCGUAGCUAACGCUUUAAGUACCCCGCCUGGGGAGUACGGCCGCAAGGCUAAAACUCAAAGGAAUUGACGGGGCCCCGCACAAGCGGCGGAGCAUGCGGAUUAAUUCGAUGCAACGCGUAGAACCUUACCUGGGUUUGACAUGGAUCGGGAGUGCUCAGAGAUGGGUGUGCCUCUUUUGGGGUCGGUUCACAGGUGGUGCAUGCCUGUCGUCAGCUCGUGUCGUGAGAUGCUGGGUUAAGUCCCGCAACGAGCGCAACCCUUGUUCACUGUUGCCAGCACGUUAUGGUGGGGACUCAGUGGAGACCGCCGGGGUCAACUCGGAGGAAGGUGGGGAUGACGUCAAGUCAUCAUGCCCCUUAUGUCCAGGGCUUCACGCAUGCUACAAUGGCUGGUACAGAGAGUGGCGAGCCUGUGAGGGUGAGCGAAUCUCGGAAAGCCGGUCUCAGUUCGGAUUGGGGUCUGCAACUCGACCUCAUGAAGUCGGAGUCGCUAGUAAUCGCAGAUCAGCAACGCUGCGGUGAAAACGUUCCCGGG